rnacentral:rRNA from 1 species
UCGAGGAUCUUCGGCAAUGGGCGCAAGCCUGACCGAGCGACGCCGCGUGGGCGACGAAGGCCUUCGGGUUGUAAAGCCCUGUCGGGGGGGGGAAAGGGCAACUUGAUCCCCCCCAGGAGGAAGCACGGGCUAAGUUCGUGCCAGCAGCCGCGGUAAGACGAACCGUGCGAACGUUGUUCGGAAUCACUGGGCUUAAAGGGCGCGUAGGCGGGCCGUCUGGUCCGUGGUGAAAUCCCCCGGCUCAACCGGGGGACGGCCGCGGAUACCGGCGGUCUCGAGGCGGGCAGGGGCGUGCGGAACACUAGGUGGAGCGGUGAAAUGCGUUGAUAUCUAGUGGAACUCCGGUGGCGAAAGCGGCGCGCUGGACCCGAUCUGACGCUGAGGCGCGAAAGCCAGGGGAGCGAACGGGAUUAGAUACCCGCGUAGUCC